rnacentral:rRNA from 1 species
AAUGAACGUUGGCGGCGUGGAUUAGGCAUGCAAGUCGAGCGCGAUGAGUUUGGUAGCUUGCUAUUGAACUCGGACAGCGGCGAAAGGGAGAGUAACGCGUAGUUAUGUACCCAGGGGUUCGGAAUAGCCACGGGAAACUGUGGGUAAUGCCGAAUAACAUCUCCGGAUCAAAGGUGUGAUUCCGCCCUUGGAGCAGACUGCGUCCUACUAGCUAGUUGGCGGGGUAAUGGCCCACCAAGGCAACAAUGGGUAGCGGGUGUGAGAGCAUGACCCGUCUCACUGGGACUGAGACACUGCCCAGACACCUACGGGUGGCUGCAGUCGAGAAUCUUCGGCAAUGGGCGAAAGCCUGACCGAGCGACGCCGCGUGCGGGAUGAAGGCCCUCGGGUUGUAAACCGCUGUCGUAGGGGAGGAAGGCUCCGUGAAGAGCGGGGUUUGACCUAUCCUAGGAGGAAGUACGGGCUAAGUUCGUGCCAGCAGCCGCAGUAAAAC